AAACGCACGCCCCGUCUCGACCUCCAACGCGCCGCUGGCCCCCUGCCACGCUGCUGCGCACCGCCGGCCCCCGACACGCCGCCGUGCGCCGCCGCAGCGGACCCCCGCCACGCCGCCGCGCGCCGCCACCGCCUCUACGACGUCCGCCGCCCCACCCCUGUGGCUUUCCAUCAUCGGAGACACACGACGCCGGCGCCACACCAUCCCCCAACUCCUCUCCCCCCUCCUCCUCUGCCUCCACUGCUCUUCAGCUGGCCAACUCCCUACUGAGGGAGCCAUGGAACUGGUCGGCCGAGGUGCUCCCCGUCAUCCCGUCGCCGGCUGCUGCUCCGGGCCCGCCUCCUCUCAGCUGACAUCGCUAGAAAUUGGCGGCACCACCAGAUCCCCCGUCUGAAAGUCCCCAAGUACCAGGUGCUUGCUCCCAGAUCCGCACUAUAUACCCAAUUUUUGCUUGAUUGUGCAGAUUUGUAAAAAAUUCGAUUUGGAGAUGAGUUAGAAUAACCUUGUGAAUUAUUGCUAACCUUGCAAGAGGCAGACAAGGAGGGUCUGAUUGUUGCUGAGCCGAGCUCGUAAACGUCUCACUCAUGUGGAUUUGUGCUAUUCUGAAUCUUCUUCUCUGAAGUGUGUUGUUUCAGUUUCAGACACAAAUGUGUUGCGCUUGCAGUGCAUACCAAUGCAUAGUUUACCGAUGUGUAUGUGUGUUCAUUUGAUUUCACUCCAGUUUACCGAUGUGCAUACGUGUUCAUUUGAUUGCACCUCAGUUUACCAAUUCUUUUUACUGAUCCAAGUUCAACAUAAUGUCUGUAUUGUGCCCUCCAAACCUGAAAAUUCCUACUUUUGGUUAAUAAAUCAUGUUGUUCUCAAGACUCAACUAUGGAUGAUCAGAACAUUAGCAACCUUGAAGUGGCAGUUCUGCUAUGUUCAUAAUUUACUUAAAAUUGAAAUUUGAAAAGAGCAUGAGUUUUGGGCUUUAUUCUUCACCAGGAUCUUUUAGUGUGUGCCUGCAACCAUAGCUUCCAUCGUCAUUACCUUAGGUUUUUCUUUUUUCCAUAUGUUCGGCUAAGAAAAGUCUUCUAGCGUCAUUGCCUUAGUUUCUUUUCCAUAUGUAUGGCAAGUAAAAGUGACAUGCAUUUUAAAUCAUUGGAAGUAAGCUUUGAUGUGUUGUGCCUUCAUCUGCAUGAAGAACAAAGUUUUUUCAUGAUUUUGUAUAUCCUUCAGUUUCUUGUUGUAACCUGAAGAAUUCACAAGCAUUCAUAUGUAGAAGUGAGUAGAAUUCAUAUGUAGCAGCGAGUCAUGUUUGUACGUUUAUACAUUAGAGGUGUUUGUGCAUGAGUCAAUUGGUUGUAGCAGCAGGUAGCAAGUCUUCUCCAGAGUUGACAAAAAAUAUAUUAUUAGUGAUCACUGCAACUCUUUUUUAUUAUUACAAUUGAUUUUCGCAUUAUCUGAUUACUCCAUCAAUGAAUCGCCAUUUAAUCGUAUCUUUACGUAAGGUUAAACUUCUAUUUUUGUUUCCCUCAAGCAUACCAGGUCAAGCAUGGUAGAAAAGUUGAAUGUUUAAUACUUGUUAGAUAAGCUCAGGUUCAGCAAUUUCAGAACAUUUUCGAUAUACAAAUAGUGCUUCAGUUCAAGAAGACGUGUUAGUUUUGAAUUCUCCUUGUGAACACCUCUUUACUUCAGAGCAUCUAAAUAGUGAUGUACCCACUUUAGUUAGGACAUAAGAUGUAUCAGAACUUUUAAAGACAUUUUCUAUAGUUAGGUUAAGAGAUAUAUGAUGGUGAUGCCAGUGGUCGUGCCUGCCUUAUCCAAAAGCCGUAUAUUUUUUGCAAAAAAGAUUAUUACUCGAUUAGUUAUUUCGAAUUUGACCUCAAAAGUAAAGUAAUGAUGAAUCAGGAACUUCAUCUAAUCGUCACCCUAAAGAGCAUACUCCUUAUGUUACUAUUUCUUUCCCUAAUGAUGAACCAGGACCUCCAUUUAAUUCUGACCCUAGAUAGCAUGCUCCCUCCAUUACUAUUGUUUAUUUAAUGGCUGGCCAAAUGAGCUGCAGGAGCAAGAAUUGCAGGAUUAAAACAAAAAACCGGGGAAGAAUAUAAUGUCAGUGUGAUUUGUUACCAACGGCAAUUCUCCACUGGAGCUCUAUGUGCAGCAACAGAAAAAAAUGGAGUUUAGCCUUACAAAGAAGAAGCAGAAAAAAACUCGGAAGUCCACCUUAUGCGCCUCUGCCUAGCUCAAGUCAUCAGCUGCAGCACCAAGCAAGUCAAGAAGUUUGCCUAUGGUGAGUGCCUGUUGGGUUAUGUGUUCAUGGCUUUCGCCACGGUCAUUUUGUCCGUCGUCCUGCAGUGUUGAAGGUGUUCUGGAGACACUGGUUGGCGCGGCAUUCACCAGUUAAUGGUACAUCACACCGUCAACGCCACCGAUGGCAUCACCAAUGUCCGUCGGUCGAGGUUCACGACAUUGUAAGAUUGAAGACAGAGUUGUGUGCUAUGCUUUGUACAUUGGAGUGGCCCAUGACUACGUUGGUCAGAUUGUCCUUUGCAUAUACGUACUUCUCAAGCAGAUACGACCCAAUCAAGGGCUCCUCUUUGAUGAAAGGAGAAGGAUGAAGAAGUCAAGCUAUUGGAGAGGUCAAUUGAGGAGCUCGAAAGUACUUUAUUUGCUCUCAAAAGUAGCUUUAUUCAGUUUGAGUGAAUUUUGUGGCCUAACUGUUGUAGCUAUUCAUUUUUCCAUGCAUUCUGAAUGUUAGUACACACCCAUGUUGGUAUAGAACUCCUGUUGUUAUGCCUGCGUUAUCACAACAACUUUCCCAGUUUUUGUGCAUAAACAUACAUAUGUGGACUAAACUCUUUCCCUUAUUUUUUGUU